AUGCAGAGACACCCUGGAAUAUACGGAGAUCCCCUGGAAUACACAGAGAUGCCCUGGAAUAUGCAGAGAUCCCCUGGAAUACGCAGAAGCGCCCUGGAAUACACAGAGAUCCCCUGGAAUACACAGAGACACCCCAGAAUACACAGAGAUCCCCCAGAAUAUACAGAGAUCCCCCGGAAUAUGCAGAGACGCCCUGCAAUAUACGGAGAUCCCCUGGAAUACACAGAGAUGCCCUGGAAUAUGCAGAGAUCCCCUGGAAUACGCAGAAGCGCCCUGGAAUACACAGAGAUCCCCUGGAAUACACAGAGAUCCCCUGAAAUAUGCACAGGUGCCGUGGAAUGUGCAGAGAUCUCCUGGAAUACGCAGAGACGCCCUGGAAUACACAGAGAUGCCCUGGAAUACACAGAGAUCCCCUGGAAUAUGCAGAGAUCCCCUGGAAUACACAGAGAUCCCCCAGAAUACACACAGACAUCCUGGAAUACACACAGAUCCCCUGGAACACGCAGAGGUGCCCUGGAAUAUGCAGAGAUCCCCUGGAAUACAAAGAGAUACUCUGAAAUACGCAGAGAUAGCCUGGAAUACACAGAGAUGCCCUGGAAUAGGCAGAGAUCCCCUGAAAUACGCAGAGAUGCCCCGGAAUAUGCAGAGAUCCCCUGGAAUACACAGAGAUCCCCUGACAUACGCAGAGGUACCCUGGAAUAUGCAGAGAUCCCCUGGAAUACGCAGAGACACCCUGGAAUACGCAGAGACACCCUGGAAUACGAAGAGAUCCCCUGGAAUACGCAGAGACGCUCUGGAAUACACAUAGAUCCCCUGGAAUACGCAGAGAUCCCCCGGAAUACGCAGAGAUCCCCUGGAAUAUUCAGAGACGCCCUGGAAUAUGCAGAGACACUCUGGAAUACACAGAGGCGCUCUGGAAUAUGCAGAGAUCCCCUGGAAUACGCCGAGAUCUCCUGGAAUAGGCAGAGACGCCCUGGAAUAUACAGAGAUCACCUGGAAUACACAGAGGCGCCCUGGAAUACACAGAGGCGCUCUGGAAUACGCAGAGAUCCCCUGGAAUAUGCCGAGAUCUCCUGGAAUAGGCAGAGACGCCCUGGAAUAUACAGAGAUUCCCCGGAAUACACAGAGAUGCCCUGGAAUACGCAGAGAUCCCCUGGAAUAGGCAGAGAUGCCCUGGAAUACGCAGAGAUCUCCUGGAAUAGGCAGAGACGCCCUGGAAUACACAGAGAUCCCCUGGAAUACACAGAGGUGCCUUAA
rnacentral:lncRNA from 1 species